rnacentral:lncRNA from 1 species
UGCCCAUCGAUGUCCCCAGGUGUCCCCAAGCCCCAGGUGUCCCCCAGUGUCCCCAGGUGCCAUCGAUGUCCCCACGUGUCCCCAAGCCCCAGGAGUCCCCCAGUGUCCUCAAGUGUCCCCAGGUGUCCCAGUGCCAUCGAUGUCCCCAAGUGUCCCCGAGCCCCAGAUGUCCUCCAGUGACCCCAUAUGUCCCAGUGCCAUCAAUGUCCCCAAGUGUCCCUUCAUGUCCCCAAGCCCCUCACUGUCCCCAAGUGUCCUGGCGCUGUUGGUGUCCCCAAGCCCCAGGUGUCCCCAAGUGUCUUUCAGUGUCCCCAAGUCCCAAGUGUCCAUCAAUGUCCCCAAGUGUCCUGAUGUCCCCAGGUGUCCCCAAGUGCCAGGUGCCACUGGUGUCCCAAGGUGUCCCCAAGUGUCCCGGUGCCAUCAAUGUCCCCAGGUGUCCCCAGGUGUCCCAGUGCCAUCAAUGUCCCCACGUGUCCCCAAGCGCCAGGUGUCCCCCAGUGUCCCCAGGUGUCCUGGUGCCAUUGGUGUCCUCAGGUGUCCCCAGGCCUCAGGUGUCCCCACGUGUCCUUCAGUGUCCCCAAGUCCCAGGUGUCCAUCGAUGUCCCCAGUGUCCCCAGGUGUCACAGUGCCAUCAAUGUCCCCAAGUGUCCCCAAGCCCCAGGUGUCCCCAAGCCCCAAGUGUCCUCCUGUUGUCCCCGAGUGUCCCUGUCCCCCAGUGUCCCCAUGUGUCCCAGUGCCAUCGAUGUCCCCAAGUGUCCCCCAGUGUCCCCAAGCCCCAGGUGUCCCCAAGUGUCCUGGUGCCAUUGGUGUCCCCAAGCCCCAGGUGUCCCGUUGCCAUCAAUGUCCCCAGGUGUCCCCAAGCCCCCGGUGUCCCCAGGUGUCCCGGUGCCAUCAGUGUCCCCAGGCCCCAGUGUCCUCCAGGUGCCCCCAAGUGUCCCUGUCCCCAAGUGUCCCUGUCCCCCAGUGUCCCCACCUGUCCCAGUGCCAUCAGUGUCCCCAAAUGUCCCCAGGCCCCAGGUGUCCUCCAGUGUCCCCACGUGUCCCAGUGCCCUUGGUGUCCCCAAGUGUCCCUCAGUGUCCCAGUGCCCUCGGUGUCCCCACGUGUCCCUUCGUGUCCCCAAGCCCCAGGUGUCCCCAGGCCCCAGUGUCCUCCUGGUGUCCCCAAGUGUCCCUGUCCCCCAGUGUCCCCACGUGUCCCAGUGCCAUCGAUGUCCCCAAAUGUCCCCAAGCCCCAGGUGUCCCCACAUGUCCCAGUGCCCUUGGUGUCCCCA